CCUACGGGAGGCUGCAGUGGGGAAUUUUGGACAAUGGGCGCAAGCCUGAUCCAGCAAUGCCGCGUGAGUGAAGAAGGCCUUCGGGUUGUAAAGCUCUUUUGUCAGGGAAGAAACGGGGUUGGCUAAUAUCCGACCCUAAUGACGGUACCUGAAGAAUAAGCACCGGCUAACUACGUGCCAGCAGCCGCGGUAAUACGUAGGGUGCAAGCGUUAAUCGGAAUUACUGGGCGUAAAGCGUGCGCAGGCGGUUUUGUAAGUCUGACGUGAAAGCCCCG
rnacentral:rRNA from 1 species